GACGAACGCUGGCGGCGUGCUUAACACAUGCAAGUCGAACGGAAAGGCCCUGCUUUUGUGGGGUGCUCGAGUGGCGAACGGGUGAGUAACACGUGAGUAACCUGCCCUUGACUUUGGGAUAACUUCAGGAAACUGGGGCUAAUACCGGAUAGGAGCUCCUGCUGCAUGGUGGGGGUUGGAAAGUUUCGGCGGGUGGGGAUGGACUCGCGGCUUAUCAGCUUGUUGGUGGGGUAGUGGCUUACCAAGGCUUUGACGGGUAGCCGGCCUGAGAGGGUGACCGGCCACAUUGGGACUGAGAUACGGCCCAGACUCCUACGGGAGGCAGCAGUGGGGAAUAUUGCACAAUGGGCGGAAGCCUGAUGCAGCAACGCCGCGUGCGGGAUGACGGCCUUCUGGUUGUAAACCGCUUUCGCCUGUGACGAAGCGUGAGUGACGGUAAUGGGUAAAGAAGCACCGGCUAACUACGUG
rnacentral:rRNA from 1 species